AAAGCCCUGAGAUAUGAAUGUCCAA
rnacentral:piRNA from 1 species